GACGAACGCUGGCGGCGUGCUUAACACAUGCAAGUCGAACGGUGAUCUUGGGAGCUUGCUCCUGGGUGAUCAGUGGCGAACGGGUGAGUAACACGUGAGUAACCUGCCCCUGACUCUGGAAUAACUUCGGGAAACCGAAGCUAAUACCGGAUAUGACACAGAGCCGCAUGGUUUCUGUGUGGAAAGUUUUUUCGGUUGGGGAUGGACUCGCGGCCUAUCAGCUUGUUGGUGAGGUAAUGGCUCACCAAGGCGACGCCGGGUAGCCGGCCUGAGAGGGCGACCGGCCACACUGGGACUGAGACACGGUCCAGACUCCUACGGGAGGCAGCAGUGGGGAAUAUUGCACAAUGGGCGAAAGCCUGAUGCAGCGACGCCGCGUGAGGGAUGAAGGCCUUCGGGUUGUAAACCUCUUUCAGUAGGGAAGAAGCGCAAGUGACGGUACCUACAGAAGAAGCACCGGCUAACUACGUGCCAGCAGCCGCCGUAACAC
rnacentral:rRNA from 1 species